rnacentral:rRNA from 1 species
CAGUCGCCACGGUAAAACGUAGGUGGCAAGCGUUGUCCGGAAUUAUUGGGCGUAAAGGGCUCGCAGGCGGUUUCUUAAGUCUGAUGUGAAAGCCCCCGGCUCAACCGGGGAGGGUCAUUGGAAACUGGGAAACUUGAGUGCAGAAGAGGAGAGUGGAAUUCCACGUGUAGCGGUGAAAUGCGUAGAUAUUCGGAAGAACACCAGUGGCGAAGGCGACUCGCUGGACAAGUACUGACGCUGAGGUGCGAAAGCGUGGGGAGCAAACAGGAUUAGAUACCCCUGUAGUCCCUGUCUCUUAUAC